GACGAACGCUGGCGGCGUGCUUAACACAUGCAAGUCGAACGAUGAAGCCUAGCUUGCUAGGUGGAUUAGUGGCGAACGGGUGAGUAAUACGUGAGUAACCUACCUUUAACUCUGGGAUAAGCCUGGGAAACUGGGUCUAAUACCGGAUACGACCAAUCUCCGCAUGGGGUGUUGGUGGAAAGCGUUAUGUAGUGGUUAUAGAUGGGCCCACGGCCUAUCAGCUUGUUGGUGAGGUAACGGCUCACCAAGGCGACGACGGUUAGCCGGCCUGAGAGGGUGACCGGCCACACUGGAACUGAGACACGGCCCAGACUCCUACGGGAGGCAGCAGUGGGGAAUAUUGCACAAUGGGCGCAAGCCUGAUGCAGCGACGCCGCGUGAGGGAUGACGGCCUUCGGGUUGUAAACCUCUGUUAGCAGGGAAGAAGAGAAAUUGACGGUACCUGCAGAGAAAGCGCCGGCUAAAUACGU
rnacentral:rRNA from 1 species